rnacentral:rRNA from 1 species
AUUGAACGCUGGCGGCAUGCUUUACACAUGCAAGUCGAACGGUAACAGGUUAAGCUGACGAGUGGCGAACGGGUGAGUAAUGCAUCGGAACGUGCCCGAUCGUGGGGGAUAACGCAGCGAAAGCUGCGCUAAUACCGCAUACGAUCUGAGGAUGAAAGCGGGGGACCGUAAGGCCUCGCGCGAUCGGAGCGGCCGAUGUCAGAUUAGGUAGUUGGUGGGGUAAAGGCCCACCAAGCCGACGAUCUGUAGCUGGUCUGAGAGGACGACCAGCCACACUGGGACUGAGACACGGCCCAGAAUCGUACGGGAGGCAGCAGUGGGGAAUUUUGGACAAUGGGCGAAAGCCUGAUCCAGCAAUGCCGCGUGCAGGAAGAAGGCCUUCGGGUUGUAAACUGCUUUUGUACGGAGCGAAAAGGUCCUUUCUAAUACAAGGGGCUCAUGACGGUACCGUAAGAAUAAGCACCGGCUAACUACGUGCCAGCAGCCGCCGUAAGAC